AUUGAACGCUGGCGGCAGGCUUAACACAUGCAAGUCGAGCGAACUGAUUAGAAGCUUGCUUCUAUGACGUUAGCGGCGGACGGGUGAGUAACACGUGGGCAACCUGCCUGUAAGACUGGGAUAACUUCGGGAAACCGAAGCUAAUACCGGAUAGAAUCUUCUCCUUCAUGGGAGAUGAUUGAAAGAUGGUUUCGGCUAUCACUUACAGAUGGGCCCGCGGUGCAUUAGCUAGUUGGUGAGGUAACGGCUCACCAAGGCAACGAUGCAUAGCCGACCUGAGAGAGUGAUCGGCCACACUGGGACUGAGACACGGCCCAGACUCCUACGGGAGGCAGCAGUAGGGAAUCUUCCGCAAUGGACGAAAGUCUGACGGAGCAACGCCGCGUGAGUGAUGAAGGCUUUCGGGUCGUAAAACUCUGUUGUUAGGGAAGAACAAGUACGAGAGUAACUGCUCGUACCUUGACGGUACCUAACCAGAAAGCCACGGCUAACUACGUGCCAGCCGCCGCGGUAA
rnacentral:rRNA from 1 species